UCAUAUAUGAUGUAUAAGAGUAAUACUUAUAAUCGAAUUUCCGCAGAUCACAACCUCACCUGAAUCUGGAAUGGACUGAGAACUCGAAGAGAACUGCUUAAAAUGGCUUGAAACAAUCUGAAACUUGCAGCAGAAGAAAACAAUACAAAGACAGAUUAGGUUUCUGGGUUUUGACUGAAACAGAGGAUUCUUGCCCAACAAGCAAUCCACGUGGUAACUAAGGUCUACCUUUUCUAGUGACUUUGAAGGCUCCAGCGCCUUCCCUGACACUUCGUUUAUCAAUAACCACCGUAUACUUGACCUCAACUGAUAAGAGAUAACCGGAAUAUC
rnacentral:lncRNA from 1 species